UACGGAGGGGGCUAGCGUUGUCCGAAGUUACUGGGCGUAAAGCGCGCGUAGGCGGGUUGGUAAGUCCGCUGUGAAAGCCCGGAGCUCAACUCCGGAGGGUCGGUGGAUACUGCCAGUCUUGAAGGUGCUAGGGGGAGAUGGAAUUACCGGUGUAGCGGUGAAAUGCGCAGAUAUCAGGAGGAACACCGGUGGCGAAGGCGGGUCUCUGGGCCGAUACUGACGCUGAGGAGCGAAAGCGUGGGGAGCGAACAGG
rnacentral:rRNA from 1 species